GUGUGUAUUCCUGUUUAAAGGGGCAGUAGAGAAAUGACAUGUUCAAUGAGCGGGGAGCUAUAGUUAAUUGUUCUGGUGACAUCUGUGAUGGACUGUGGAUCAAUGGCUCCCCUGCUGCCUGUGGAAGUUCUGGAGGAAACCAUGGUGGAGCAGGUGUUUCUGUGCAGAGGACCACAGCGGAACAGGUACUCACACUGCAGCCUAUGAAGGACCCCAUGCCAGAGCAGCAAUUCCGGAUUUCACUGGCCAAUUUACCAGUCCCUAAGGGACAUAGAGCCAGAACCUGGAUCUGACACCUAUAUGGAGCAGGAGGUGCUUCGAGCAGCCAGCAUGAAAGGAGGCAAAAAGCCAAGUGGCAGAAUAUCUGCUGAGAAAGCUGAGAAGAUGACAGUCUCACAGGAGAAAAUGGAAGACAGCAGUGAUCUUUAGAUCUCACAUGAUGUCCGAAGAAUACAAGCUACAAAAGGAUCAGCACCUCAAGGAAUUCUAAGGCAUUACAAGAGGCAGCUUCCUUGGUUAGACAAAUCCAAACAUGGAAAUCAACUUUUUGCAAGCAUCAGGAUAAGUGCUAAUAUCUUGGACCCAGGAUGUGAAAGCAGAUGACU
rnacentral:lncRNA from 1 species